UACGUAGGGUGCAAGCGUUGUCCGGAUUUAUUGGGCGUAAAGAGCUCGUAGGCGGCUUGUUGCGUCAGCUGUGAAAACCCGCAGCUCAACUGUGGGCUUGCAGCUGAUACGGGCAGGCUUGAGUUCGGCAGGGGAGACUGGAAUUCCUGGUGUAGCGGUGGAAUGCGCAGAUAUCAGGAGGAACACCGGUGGCGAAGGCGGGUCUCUGGGCAGUAACUGACGCUGAGGAGCGAAAGCGUGGGGAGCGAACAGG
rnacentral:rRNA from 1 species